UACGGAGGGGGCUAGCGUUGUUCGGAAUUACUGGGCGUAAAGCGCACGUAGGCGGCUUUCUAAGUCAGGGGUGAAAUCCUGGAGCUCAACUCCAGAACUGCCUUUGAUACUGGAGAGCUCGAGUCCGGAAGAGGUGAGUGGAACUCCGAGUGUAGAGGUGAAAUUCGUAGAUAUUCGGAAGAACACCAGUGGCGAAGGGCGGCUCACUGGUCCGGUACUGACGCUGAGGUGCGAAAGCGUGGGAG
rnacentral:rRNA from 1 species